GCCACGCACCUGGGUCUUCCCUCCCCCCCCCCCCCGCCAACCCAGAGAAGUGCGUGAGGUUCCACGCAUUAGUCCUGAUGCUAAUGCUCGUGCUUAGGAAAGAGUUGUAAAUAUACGCAGCCGUGUGGGAGAGCCCUCGAGCAGACAGAGAAGAUCCAGCGUGAGGGUUGGCGGAAGCGAUGAUAAGAGGCAGGAACCACAGCUGGAGGUCAGAAGUCUGAAAACGAGAUGCAUGGGGCUAAAAUCAAGGUGUUGACAGAGCUGAGCUCCUUCUGGGAAGAAUUUUGCCUUUUUUAGCCUCAAGAGGCUCCCUAUUCCUGGGCAGGUGGUCCCCUUCCGGCAACGACGGUAUGCCAAUUACUUCUUUCUGCUCUGAACACCUCCUUCUUGGAUGCUGACUAUUGUCUCUUUCUCCCCCUCACUUCUAGAGUCUCCUGUGGUUACAUUGGGCCCUCCCGGAUAAUCCAGGACAUUCUCCCCAUCUCGAGAUCCUUAACUUAAUCACAUCUGCAAAGUUCCUUUUUCCCCGUGAACUCAUCUAUUCACAGAUUCCAGGAAUUACAAUGUGGACAUAUCUGGGGACCAUUAUUCUGCCUACCACACAUGCACCUCUUUCCAGCCAUCUUUUUCUCUAUCUAGUAUCACAGUAUUUAAAUACGUCGUAAGUCAGAAUGAUUUGCAAAUCCUCCCCCCUCUUCCAUGUAAGGAGAAAAGAUAUGUGUCAUGAUAAUAACACCUACCAGUCCUGACAGCAAUAACGAGAAUAACAGUUCACAUUUAUUCAGUUAUUAAACCAAUGUUCUACGUAA